UCGCUUUCGCAGCAAAUAUACUAUAAAACUGGAACGAUACAGAGAACAUUAGCAUGGCUGCUGUGCAAGGAUGACACACAAAUUUGUGAAGCGUUCUGUAUUUUU